rnacentral:rRNA from 1 species
UGGGGAAUAUUGGACAAUGGGCGAAAGCCUGAUCCAGCAAUACCGCGUGUGCGAUGAAGGUCUUCGGAUUGUAAAGCACUUUUGAUCGGAAAGAGGGUCGGGGCGUUAAUAGCGCUACCGGCUGACGUUACCGAUAGAAUAAGCACCGGCUAACUCUGUGCCAGCAGCCGCGGUAAGACAGAGGGUGCGAGCGUUAAUCGAAAUAACUGGGCGUAAAGCGUGCGUAGGCGGGACAGUAAGUCAUAUGUGAAAAACCGGGGCUCAACCUCGGGACUGCAUGUGAUACUGCUGUUCUAGAGUUUGGUAGAGGUAAGUGGAAUUUCCGGUGUAGCGGUGAAAUGCAUAGAUAUCGGAAGGAACACCAGUGGCGAAGGCGGCUUACUGGGCCAAUACUGACGCUGAGGCACGAAAGCGUGGGGAGCAAACAG